rnacentral:lncRNA from 1 species
CUACUUUUUAUUUAUCUUCUUCUUCCUUAUUGAAACUUGGUUUUGAAAUUUACAAUAUGUAAACUGAGCAUUAAGAGAUACAGUCAUACAAAUGUCAAAGGUUCGAACCUUUUAGAUAAUAUAAUUAGAAGGUACGAAUCUUAAGCAAAUCAUAUAAAGAAACGGGUUCACACAAAAAUAUCGACCCGAUCAAUACAAAAUAUAUCUCUAGAGUACAUAAAAGAUCUUAGUUCUCGAAGACAGAAAAAGAUCUUCGAACGUCAACGUGAAAACUCUUAGAAGUAGAUCCAGAACUGGAAACCGAAGUAGAGGAGGAAGAAUAAGCAUGAUGAUGAGAUGAUGCCAUCUUAUUAGACAUCAUCGUCAUCAUCAUCCCACCACUGAAACAAUCAUCUUUAUACUCUUCUUCUUUGAUUGUGUCUAGCUUCUGCUUCGCUGCUCUAUGCCUCCUCAUCACCGUCACGAAUUGAGGCGGAGCCACUUCUGAUACAAACCUUGCUAGACGUGAAGUAGCCAUUUCUUGUGAUGUCAAAUAAGUAUUUAACAAGAACGGUGUGUAAAGAAAUUAAAGGAAUGAUUGAGGUCUCUUGGUUU